GCAACUCAACUCCGAAAUAUUUAUUCGGUUUUCUCCGUAAGAGCACCUCUUCUGAAAUCCGUCCGUCACAUUUGUUCCGGCGGGGUUUUCAACUGCGAGUGUCGAGGUCACGCGAAUAUUGUUUCCGAUAAACAUUAUUGCGCAUGCGCGAGAUUAUAUUCUACUGCGGUCCGAAUCGGUUCCCGGAUACGCGAAAAUAGAUAAUAACCACUGACGG